UGGAGAGGAAACGGGUUGUCGACACGGAUCGACGUUGGGUUGCCGAGAGAGGACAAGGAGAGGCGGAGAAGAGGAAUCUGUUUGGUAACGACCAGGGUUGCUUUGAUUCCCAGCCAUGACGGUUAGGGUUUGAGUGCAGGAGGCAGAGGAUGGCCCGUGGUGUCGACGUCGAGCACCAUUGAUGAAGGUCUAGGCCAUAGCGGCUAGGGUUUGGGAGAGAAGGUUAGAGGCGUAAGGCCAUUAGAAGAUUAGAUUGUAGAUCCUUCAAUUCCCAUAGAUAGUUUUUUAUAUCGAGAUAAUUCAGAGAAAGUAAUCGGGAAAUUACUAUAUUUCAUUCAUAGAUUGACAACACCACCCUAUCAUAAUGUAUUCCUAAUAUACAUUGACUAAGGCAAAUAUACAUAAUUGUAUUUUCCUUUAAACAUUUCUCACCGUGUAGUGUCAACCAUAUAUGAAAAGUGACAAUUUUUUUGAAAUGUAAAAUAUUUCAUUGAUAAACUUAGGCUAGAAUGACAUCAUUACAUUAUAGUCAAUUAGCUCACUUUAGCAGAGAAUUAAACUAGAUACAAUUCAAGAUAUCAAAAAAACAUAAAAACUGAAACCAAAGCCCUCAAUUGAGGUAUUCCAAGCAUCAUGAUUCCAUCUAGCUGCAGCUAGCUUGCUCAGUCUGCUAUGCUAUCCAAACACUGCGACUUAAGCCACAAUCAGUUUGAAAUCAGGCCUAAUAACCCAAUUCCAAAUUUGACUUUUGAUGGGCUUGAGGCUAGACCCAGGCCCAAAAACCCGAGUCCAUUCCUAAACCCUAGCAGAUUUGCAUCAUCGCUUGCCGACAAUCUCCGCUCGCAUUGAUGGCGACCAAAAUGGUUUUGCCACCGGCGUCCCUGCCCCUGCAGGCAUCAUCCUCAGAUCUUCUAGUUGAAGACGCGCAACUCUCUUGGAUUCAAGCUCAGACUCAAUCUCACUAACCGGAGUCUAAAGCCAUAACCAAAUUGGGAGAUUUCGAUCCUUGCUCGCAGCCAAGUUUUGCGGCUAGUGAUCUUCGACGUUAGAAGGUAACCUUCCACCUUGUAUCCAUGUUCGGUGGCAUUUCGUCCUCCACCUCCAUGGUUAACUGACCACAAAAGAUUAAGAUUUGCCUCCAUAGGAGGGCUUGAUGCCGAGAAGGAACAGCUUAAACUCGGUGUCAAGCGUUGUUGGAGACCUAGGCCAAGGUGGGGAGGGUUUAGGAAGGAUCUGGUGCGGCGGCUGAGGGAAAUGGAUAGCAUCACCCGAACCGGCCGUUGGACUUGCAUCUACAUCAUCUUUCGGCAUAAAAAUGAUGGAGGACUUGUUGACCAGAUCUGAUCUUAGAUUGCUGCAAGAAGACAACGUGGUUAGGAGAAGAGAACUUCACUUGAUACCGGCGUCGAUCGUCGUGAUUGAGAAACCAAGCCAUGAUGGCUAGGGUUUUAGAAGAGGAGCCGUGCUCCUCUCAUGACGGCUUUUUGAAAAGUAACAAUUUAUUCUAAGUUAAUGGGGUUUAAUUAGAAGUUGUUCCGUAGAACAAUUUCAUUGAGCCUAACAAUUUGUUUAAGAAUUUAUUUGCUUAGAACACUAACCGAUACAUGGAAGCUCUGCAUCACAAUCUGAAUUGAAUGUCCGAGCACCACUGUUAGCCAAUCUAACAAGUCUAUGAACCAUCCCAACAUGGCCUUUGAUCUUUUCAACUAGCCAUCAAAACCGGUACAUAAUUGAUCCCAGCCUUCGAGCCUUAAACAUACCCAUAAACAAACCAUAUGUAAAGCCAUGUACAUCAUAUAGAGGUUAAGCCAUAGGUCAACACAACACCAAGGCACAUGCAACAACAUUCCUCUAGUGAUUUUGAGAGAACAACCACACUAUUCUUUUCAACCAUGCUUACAAAACACAUAAUUUUAAGAGAUUAUGAGAGACAAAUGAACAUCAACAACGUGUAUCCAAUUUUAAAAAUAAAUAGCAAUUAACAAUUAUGAAUUAUGAAUUUGUUUUCAACUAACAG
rnacentral:lncRNA from 1 species